rnacentral:tRNA from 1 species
GUUAUUAUAGUGUAACUAACACACUGCAUUUUCAUUGCAGAGCUAAAGGUCAACUCCUUUUAAAAACAC